rnacentral:tRNA from 1 species
GUGGUUGUGGCUCAGCUGUUGAGUGCUCACCUAGCACAUGCGAGGUGCUGGGUUCAAUCCUCAGCACCACA